GACAGAGGGUGCAAACGUUGUUCGGAAUUACUGGGCGUAAAGCGCGUGUAGGCAGCUCGGAAAGUCGGGUGUGAAAGCCCUGGGCUUAACCUAGGAAGUGCACUCGAAACUUCCGAGCUUGAGUUCUGGAGAGGAAGGCGGAAUUCUCGGUGUAGAGGUGAAAUUCGUAGAUAUCGAGAGGAACACCGGUGGCGAAGGCGGCCUUCUGGACAGUGACUGACGCUGAGACGGCGAAAGCGUGGGAGCAAACAGGG
rnacentral:rRNA from 1 species